GACGAACCGUGCGAACGUUGUUCGGAAUCACUGGGCUUAAAGGGCGCGUAGGCGGGCGAGAUAGUCGGAGGUGAAAUCCCACGGCCCAACCGUGGAAGUGCCCCCGAUACUACUCGUCUGGAGGGGGAUAGGGGCGUGCGGAACUUCCGGUGGAGCGGUGAAAUGCGUAGAUAUCGGAAGGAACACCGGUAGCGAAAGCGGCGCGCUGGAUCCCUACUGACGCUGAGGCGCGAAAGCCAGGGGAGCAAACGGG
rnacentral:rRNA from 1 species